rnacentral:rRNA from 1 species
UACGUAGGGGGCAAGCGUUGUCCGGAAUUAUUGGGCGUAAAGCGCGCGCAGGCGGUCGUUUAAGUUUGGUGUUUAAGCCCGGGGCUCAACCCCGGUUCGCACUGAAAACUGAAUGACUUGAGUGUAGGAGAGGAAAGUGGAAUUCCACGUGUAGCGGUGAAAUGCGUAGAGAUGUGGAGGAACACCAGUGGCGAAGGCGACUUUCUGGCCUAUAACUGACGCUGAGGCGCGAAAGCGUGGGGAGCAAACAGG